rnacentral:rRNA from 1 species
CCUACGGGAGGCAGCAGUGGGGAAUAUUGGACAAUGGGGGCAACCCUGAUCCAGCGACGCCGCGUGUGUGAAGAAGGCCUGCGGGUUGUAAAGCACUUUUAGUGGGGACAAAAAGCCACGGGCUAAUACCUUGUGGUCUUGAUUUAACCCAAAGAAAAAGCACCGGCUAACUCUGUGCCAGCAGCCGCGGUAAUACAGAGGGUGCGAGCGUUAAUCGGAAUUACUGGGCGUAAAGCGUGCGCAGGCGGUUCGCUAAGUCUGAUGUGAAAGCCCCGGGCUCAACCUGGGAACUGCAUUGGAAACUGGCGAGCUUGAGUGUGGCAGAGGGGGGUGGAAUUCCCCGUGUAGCAGUGAAAUGCGUAGAGAUGUGGAGGAACACCGAUGGCGAAGGCAGCCCCCUGGGCUAACACUGACGCUCAGGCACGAAAGCGUGGGGAGCAAACAGGAUUAGAUACCCUUGUANUC